rnacentral:rRNA from 1 species
CACACUGUCAACGAUGUGCACUAGGUGCUGGGGCGGACGCUUCAGUGCCGGAGCUAACGCGGUAAGUGCACCGCCUGGGGAGUAUGCUCGCAAGGGUGAAACUCAAAGGAAUUGACGGGGGCCCGCACAAGCGGUGGAGCAUGUGGUUUAAUUCGAUGGUACACGAGGAACCUUACCUGGGUUUGACAUACACAGGAAUACGGCAGCGAUGUCGUAGGGUAGCAAUACCCCUGUGAACAGGUGC